rnacentral:rRNA from 1 species
GAUGAACGCUGGCGGCGUACCUAACGCAUGCAAGUCGAACGGACAUUCAAGGAGCAAUCUGCGGAUGUUAGUGGCAAACGGGUGAGUAACACGUAGGCAAUCUACCUUGGAGAGGGGAAUAACGAGCCGAAAGGUUCGCUAAUACCGCAUACGGUCGGUCACGAACGCAAGUUCGUGCGACGAAAGGGGCGAUCUUCGGAUGCGUCACUCUAAGCGGAGCCUGCGAUCGAUCAGGUAGUUGGUGAGGUAACGGCUCACCAAGGCGACGAUCAGUAGCUGGUCUGAGAGGAUGAUCAGCCACAUUGGGACUGAGACACGGCCCAAACUCCUACGGGAGGCAGCAGUGGGGAAUAUUGGACAAUGGCGCAAGCCUGAUCCAGCCAUGCCGCGUGAGUGAUGAAGGCCUUAGGGUCGUAAAGCUCUUUUGUGCGGGAAGAUAAUGACUGUACCGCAAAGAAUAAGCCCCGGCUAACUUCGUGCCAGC